AGUUGCGCUUUGACAUUGAGCACACCUGUGCCACGUAAUUAUGUCGGCGUGUUUGUGGCUUUAUUAAAAAAAAGCACAGUUGAGUGGGGCACUUUGAUUCCUUUCUUAUCUGUAGGCUGGGUGGCUAGAAAAGGGAGGUGUGCAUGAACGCAGGUAGCAUAAAGUGACAAUAGUUUAAUCCCGUUUGUGAGGUGCGGCCAAAGAGCGCUAGCUGCUGUUUCGUACCUGUUUUGUAUAUGCUUUUACACACCGUUUCAUAAACCCGAAUUAGCUUGUUGGUUUACAGUUUGGACCAAGCGGACGUCGCGGUUGCAAACCAUUGCAUUAAUUACAUUUUAUUUAUUUUAUUUUAAUAAAAUAUAAAAUUAUUUUAUAUAUUA